CCGACCAUGCCAUCUAUAUAUACUUUUCUCUCAAACAUUAUAGUAAACGUUUUCUACUGCUUGUUCUUGUUUUGUGUUUUACUCGUUUGUGAUGAUUCUGAUUUCUUCAAGCCCUAGUUCUUGAGCAAUCCAGUUUCUUGUAGCCCUAGUUCUUGAUUGCUCCGAUUUCUUGAUACUCGUUGCUCCGAUUACUUGCUUCUUGAUGGCUCGAUUUCAGGAGAUUCUUAUGGAUUUGCCUUAUCGAUUUCACAAUUCUCUUGACUCCUCUUAUACAAAUCGCGAUCUGAAGUCUGAGUUCAAAGGUUAAGAACGGAGAACGCAUCCAGAUAGACGAAUCAAGUUUCUUCAAUGAGUCGUUCUUUAAUUUUUUUAUUUAUUUUCUUGCUUUGAUUGCAAGACAUACGAAUUACGAAUUGAAUUGUGAACCUGUUUUUCUGCAGCAUGAUUUCUCGAAAUAAUACCGUUCUUCAUAGCAAAGAAUAAAUGGAUGCUCGAGUUUUGUUUGGUGAUCUCUAGUAAAAAAAUAUUCGUUUCAAUCUUUCUCUUUAGAUUCCGAGAGCAUAUUUUCUUGAAGUAAAUUAUUUGCGUUUAAAUAUUUAUGUUUUCAUUCUUGAUUUUGUUCGUCUUUGGUGUUGCAGGAGAGGUAAUCUGUGAACACACGAUUCCUUCUUGGUUCUAUCUUCCUCUUGUUUGAUUUUGAUGUUUUUUAUUCUUAUUCUCUUAUCCUUUAUCAUAUAGGUUCUUGAUUUUGUUCUUGCUGGUUUCUUUCAUUGAGUUUGUUGUUCUUAUUUGCAUGAUCUGCUGCUAUUUUUGAGUUGUUGCUGGUUGGGAGAGGUUUCUGUUAUUGUCUUUUACUCAUUAGUUGUUUUUGUGGUUAUUUGUGAUUUACGAUGAUAAUCCUAAAAAGAUAUCCUUUGUUACAGUGGCCCAAGGACUCAUCUGUAGUAAGAAGAAUCCAAAAUUGUGUCAUUUCAUAUGGAGUACAUGAUCUUGCACGUUGGAUGGAAAUUUGUUCCAAUGAUUCAUAAGCUCUUGCUGGCUGUGUCGUAUACUUUUAGCUGUUGCUAGGUUUUAAUUCGGCCAUCUUUACUAAGUAUCUUCACAUUUCAUUAUUUGUUUGAUACUCAGCUUAUACUUUUGUCAGUCAGUUCCUUUGAGUUUUCUGUCUGGAAGUUACAGGGGAGAUAGCCUAUGAUUGUGUAGUUUGCUGUGGAACUUGUGGCAGGAAGAGGUUCAGUUCUAACACACCCUUAAAAUAAAAACCCGUCAUUUUGUACUUACAUAUCUAAUAUCUUAUUGUUUUGGGAUAUUUGUUGUUUGAUGGAGUGCCCUGCUGGUUUUGGAUUUUCUGUGUUGCUAUUUCAGCAAGAUUCUAGAGUGUUGAAGCAUACAAGAUUCUAGAGUAUACCUUUUCCCUCACCGAGGAUGUGGAAUUAGGGAUAACUUGGUUUGUCAUUUUUUUGUUCUGUUCAUUUGCCACUUCCUUUGUUAUAUUUGUUUCUAUUUUCUUGUCAAUUGUGAUACUUAGGAGUAAGGUUAAGAAUAAUAGUAUUAUCUCUAGUUGUACAUGAAUUCCUUCUGGUAUAGGGAUAAAGUCUAAUUUUGCAUUGGAGCACUGGAAUCUACAAUUGGUACAUGAACUCCUUCUGGUAUAGGGGUAAAGCCUAAUUUUGCAUGGGAGCUCUGGAAUCCAAAAUUGAUUGUGUACUAUAUUCUCACGAUUGUUGUUCUUUCAUUUGGUGAUCUCUACUUUGACUAUGUAAUUUUCUUGUUUCUUUGUCUUUUGAAGACUUGUUUUCUCGAUCUUUCGAGAGCUAUGUGUGGGUGUCACAGGGGAUGUAGACAGUGAAAGCUAUGACAUAGAUUAUCAAGGACGUGAUUUUGCUAUGGAGAGAGCCAAUGAAUGUACCAUGGGAUGUGGAAGCUGUUGUAGACAUUAUCGAGGACAUGCCUUUGGAUUUAAUGGGUCAUUUUUCUCCUUGAAUGUGUUUAUUCUGUAAUUCUAGAAUGGGAUAUCUUAUGAUAUUGUAAUGUGGCGAUGUUGAUUUUUGUGUUUUUUACUGAGAGUUGUAAGAGAGGUUCUGAAGUGCAUGUACAUAUUUUUCAAGGAUAAUUUAAGACAUGCAUUUAUGUGUUUUGCAGUGAGUUGAAGUUUAGAUAUCUAGAACCUUGAGCCUUGUUGGAUGGAUAAGAAAGGGAAAGCCCUAGAUAAAUCAAAUUUCUUCCGAGUCAUUAUAAUUGUUAUUUCCGGAUGUUGAUCGCAAAACAUACAAAUGAAUUGUGAACU